rnacentral:tRNA from 1 species
GGGGGUAUGGUGUAGUGGUAUCACUUUUCGUUUGCAUCGAAACGGUCUUGGGUUCAAACCCCAAUGCCUCCA